rnacentral:rRNA from 1 species
GACGUAGGGCGCGAGCGUUGUCCGGAUUUAUUGGGCGUAAAGAGCUCGUAGGCGGCUUGUCGCGUCGGCUGUGAAAACCCGCGGCUCAACUGUGGGCGGGCAGCUGAUACGGGCAGGCUGGAGUUCGGUAGGGGAGACUGGAAUUCCUGGUGUAGCGGUGAAAUGCGCAGAUAUCAGGAGGAACACUGGUGGCGAAGGCGGGUCUCUGGGCCGAUACUGACGCUGAGGAGCGAAAGCGUGGGGAGCGAACAGG